rnacentral:rRNA from 1 species
GACAGUGGUGCCGAGCGUUAGGCGGAAUCACUGGGCUUAAAGCGUGUGUAGGCGGAUCGUUAAGUAUCUUGUGAAAUCCCACGGCUCAACCGUGGAACUGCUGGAUAUACUGGCGAUCUUGGGCCACCUAGGGGCAGAUGGAACAAGUGGUGGAGCGGUGAAAUGCGUAGAUAUCACUUGGAACGCCAAUGGUGAAAACAGUCUGCUGGGGGUGUGCCGACGCUGAGACACGAAAGCCAGGGGAGCGAACGGG